UUAAAAUGUCAUUUUAAAUAACAAACUGAAAUUGUUGCUUGUGACUGUAUCACGUGCCAUGGAAUGGAGGAUUAAAUAUGGGUAACUUAAAGUUUUUAACUCCUCCUUUUUUUUCCCCCCAUCUCACUAUGCAAGGUAAGUGAAAUACACCUCUCAUCUCCGCUGACUUGUACAAAUAAUUAUUCUAAUUCAGUAAUGUCUUUGUGUAUGUCUGUUAAAAAGCGGAGAGUUUUUCAUCUAAGUUCUGUAAUUGGUGCACUGAUUAGAGCAUAGAAUUCAUAUGACUUUAAAACUGAUGGGGAUUGUUUGUUGAGAGAGAAGUUAUUUGAUCAUUCUUCAACUAUUUAGUUACCUUUGAUUGAGAUAUUUAGAAGUUUGUUUCCAAGCCAACAAAAAAAAAACAAACACCAAACAACCCACAACAAAUGUUUUGAACCCAAAGAAAAAGGUAGCGACCUUGAGUUCAUUGCUUUUGUUUAUGAGGAGCACCAGAAUUUUUCAAAACCAGAAAAUGGCUGUGUGUGUGUGUGGUGCUCUUCCCUGUCAGUACAUGAUGUACGUCAGGAUGUAUGGUGCCUGGUGGCUCAGAAGCUGACUGCUGUCUCAUUAAAAGAUCAGACACAUCUCCCUAAUUCUCAUCACCAGCAUUCACCUCUGUGUUUAAGCAUGCUGCAGAAGGAGGUGGGUUUGGUAGUUCAGCCAGCCUUAGGUGUAUGUAUGACACCUCCUCCUUGGUGCAUACCCAGCACCUCUCCGCCCUGUGUUUUGUUGCUGAGCAUGUUGUUACCAAAGGAAUCUCCCUUUGGUCAGCUGUGUCUCCUCCCAGCUUCUUCUCAACCUGCAGCUUCUUUGAGGCUGGGAAAAGAGAGCCUUGAGGCUGUGCAGGUGCUGCUCAGCAACAGCAGAAAGGCUGGUUUGGUUACCAGUCCAUAGCACAGCACCGGGAGCUGAUAGGAAGAAAAUGAAUCGCAUCUCAUCUGGUCCCAGGAACUAACAUAUUAAAUUGUACGGAAGCUGGGAAGAGACCAGUGAUGUUUGCUGCCAGCUUAAGAAUGAGAACAUUUACUGGCUCUACCACUAAUGCUGAAGGAAAAGAAUGAUGUCUGAAGAGAGGAGAGAGAAGGAUUGCUUUUGAUAAAAUGAAGUUAAAAGACUGGAAUUCAGCAAGAAAAUUUGGAGAGUCCAUUCUCAGCUGUGCUGAGAAGGAAGAGGGAAACGGAAGUAGGGAACACAGAAUCACUUAAAAUUGAGCUUGCUGUAACCAAGCGAGCUUGUAUUUCUGCACAAGUUAUUUGCAAAGACCUGCUAGGUCAAUUGUAAAUGCUUGUGCUUACUCCACCAGCAUGUUCUCAUCCAGGAGGGAGUAAAAGAUUGUGAUUGCUUCCAAACGGAAAUAAAUAUUGACACCUC